AGUGGAUCCGGUGUGGGCGCAGUGAAAUGCAGAGACGGGCCCUCUCCAAGCUGACCAUGCUACCGUCCUCCCGCAGGGGGAAACGCCACUUCCUUGUUUCAGUUUGGUUACCGCCCACUCGGACUCUCGGAGCCAAUCAACGUCCAGGACCGGCCGUGCGUAACGAUGCGUAACCUGCACCGGAGGAACACACGCUUGACAACAGCUCAAUGUCGUCGGGAGUGCCACAUUAAAACGUGUUUGCGUUUGAUAAAAGUACCCGAGCAGUUUCAGGGCUCAGUCAAGCCCAAAAAAUGUAAGAUUUUGAGUUGAUAAGUGCAUAAUUUCAAGUUAUUUCAAAAUAAAAUUAAAAUAAAAUGUGA